CUAACGCUGUUGGUUCCGAUAACAUCGAAUCGACCGACUCCACGGGAAAGCAACGGUCACAUGACACAUUCUGGCGUGCGGGGUUUAUUCUGUUUUUUCUUCAGAGCUUAGGAGAAGGACUAAACCCUAACGAUUUCCCUUUGCUUUCCUCUCUUCUCUAUCUUCGAGUCGAUUUCUUGGAGACUUGAACUCUUUGAUUCCAGAUUGCUAUCUCCGGACCGAUGUAAUCGGUGAUCUGAAUUUUAUUUACUCGAAUUCUUGGAGGCGCCCGCUUUAUUUCAAUCUCCAUUGCUGGUUCUUGGUGAGAUCAAGAUAUUUUAAUCCAGAGAUGUCGACGGGAUCUUCUGAUAGAAGAAUGAAACAAGGCAUGUAAAAUGUUCGUAAGAAGAGGAAAGAAAGAAAGUUUUCUUUUCCUUCCUUAAAUCUUAUGUAUGCAAUUGUAUUAUUUUUUCAGGGCAUAUUGUUUUGUAUACAUUAUAUGAUCAAUUAGAAUUUUUAUCUAAGUAUUGUUUAUUUAAUAGUCUCGUGUUUCGUGUCAUCCUCUUUCAGCACUUUAUGAUAUAAAGUGCAACAAGGUUUGGGAGCAAGAUACUGCAUGUGGCUGGUCAGCGACAAAAUCCUCAAACAAUAACAGAACAACUGGUUAUACCAAAAGUUUGGAGCCUGCCUGCAACUUGAUUACAUAAAAUAAAAUAAGAAAUUACUUGUGUUCUCUACAUCAUAAAAUAUGAGAAUUUACACCUCAUGUGCUAUUAAGACAUAAAUAACAUAGAUGCCAAUGAUGAGUGUUUUGUAUAGAUCAUAUAGAAACUGUUAACAUGUGUGACUUAGACACAAAUAACAGAAGUAUAAUAAAUGGAAAGAAUGGAAUUGUGAAAUAUAAGGUUAGGUCAACAAUUGUAACCUAAAAGUGAUACCAAUGAGCUUAUGGAGAAGAUAAUCCAAUGUUGAAGUUAUUCGAGAUUACAUGUGCUGAUAAACAUGCCCAUGUACAUACUUCUUUCUGUACAUAUCGAAUUUAUAAUAAAAUAUGUUCAACUGAUGGUGUAACCAACCCCCUGGAUCUGAAUUAUCAACUUCAUAAACUUAGUCUCAGAUGUGAUAUAUAAUAAAAGUUGUUAAACUGAUGGUAACCAACAUACUGAUUCUGUAUAUUCUACUUUUUAUGAGCUUGUAGCAUCAUGAUAUUCUGGGAGAUAAUUGCAGAUUAGCAACUCAUGAUUAUGUGUUCUGGUCUACCUUUUGCCUGUUCAUUUGCAUAAUAAUAUCAUGAUGCUACAGUAUAAACUAUAUAUCAUCCGAGUAGAUCAUGUAGAAAAUAUUCUUUCUAAUUGUCGUAUGACAUUCUGGCACUGACUUUUUUCUUUCUGAAAAAGAAAGACCCUGACGCAUCUGUUUAAAUGUCGAGGAAAUGAUGAAUGAUGCAUAUUGCACAUACUACAUGAUGCUACCAUUUGAACUGUAGGUUGUGAAGUUGUUAUUUGCAGUGCCUACCUUUCUUGCGCUCGAAUCAACUUCAGGGGGUAGUCUUAGCCAUGCAGAGUAGACAAGAGACUCGUAGACUGUCACAUGGGGUGAGUGGAUGUCAUUCUGCUCACAGUAUCCUGAUAUCCGGGCAAAAGUUUCCUGCUUCUUUGGAUAACCAGAUAUUGUGAUGCUUCCCUCAAUAUAUCCACCAGUUUUUCUCCCAGCCAACACGUCCAUUAAUGUUGUCUUACCCGCUCCACUGACACCCAUCAGUGCUGUGAGAACUCCUGGCCUGAAUACUCCACUUACACUCUUGAGCAGUAACAACCGAUCUUCUGUCACACCCUGAGCUUUCAUUUCCUGCAAGUGUAAAUUAACGAUUAGUUCGCAGUUCUUUGAUCAUAAUAAUGUGAAUGACAUAACCUGACCUUUACUAUGUAAAAUUGCAUAAUAUGUUUGAACUCUAGCAUACCUGUGGCAUGUCCACGGAGUAUUUGACAUCAUCAAAUGUGAGCGACUGUGGAACAAAUGGAAGUACCAUACCCCUCCUCCUGUUCGGAUUGGCUUCAGUGCUGAUCUCCAUCCCUGUGGUCCUACUUCCACUGCCUCUUGCUGAAGUCAUGUGAAUCUGUAGGUAAGUAUAAAUGUUCUUGUAAAUCAGAUUGUGUACUUUUUUAUUAAACUGACCUUCAGAUGGAUGGCUGGAGUUCCUUUCUCUGGUUGCCAGCUCGACAUUUUCUCCUAUUCGGUUAGCUUGCUUCUCUUUCAACACCUCUUCAGAUAUAACUGUUUGGCCUUUUCCAAUUGCUGCAUCAAUGUAAUUUGACAAUUAGAUCAUUGAUUUAUCCUGCCGAGAAGUGUGACCAGUAUUGAUGAGAAGCAUUUAGUAUCGGAGAUGAGGUAGCUCACGGUCAAGGUAAGAAAGCGCAACAGUGAAGAGGAAAUUGAAAACCAGAAUAUAUCCAAGUAAUGCGCCGACACCAAUCCAAUACCAAUUUGCUUCGGUAAAAAGGCCUCGAGACUCCAAAAUUUGGACUCCCAAGGUAUCUUUGCUAGAAGUUCCAUUAACACCCUGUUUUGAGGAGUCAAUGCUAACUCAGAUCAAUUCUAGUGAAUCAAAUUUUUGCAUAUUCAGUAGGGAAUUUCUUACAUGUCUCCAUUUCUUCCCAAGGAAUUCAUUCACGGAUAUUGCAUUCUGUGCAUACAUCAAAGCUGAACACCAGUAACCCCAGAUCCACCAUUUCUUGAUAUUCUCUGAAUAAAGCAAAGAAGAUUUAGUCAUGCAUUUGUCAUUAGUCUUACCAAUAAAAUUUGAAGUUGAGAUAAUGGCUUUUAAUUUGUUGCAAGAAUCUUGGCCUUUUACAGAAGCACAUUAUCUUAAAGACAUCAUACUUCGUGAUAUGACAAAGCCUCCAAGGACUAUAAGCACCAGCUGUGCGAAGGAACCGAAUGUGUUUGCAACAACCAUUUCUCUACCACAUGCAGCCAGGAGUCGAAAGAGUCCAGACGCCAUUUGGCUAACCAAUGCAUAUAUGAAAAACUGUCUAAACAUCCUGUGCAAAGAAGAUUGUCUGGUUAAUCAAGACUGAAAGAUAUAUAUUACGAUCUGGAUUUACUGAUGGUGAUCAGAUUUUUCUAUCCAAUAUCACCUUUGGACAUCUGGAUCAAAACCAAUAACGUAAUAACUCAUGCCGACAUAGAUAGCACAUUCCAAGAAUGAGAUUGGAAUCUUCAGUAUCCAUGCAGGUAGUGCAUAUGCCCAGGCAGGAUAAAACAGGAGAUCUCUUUGCUUGUAAAAGACGGGAAGCUUUGCAAUGCUCAUUGCAAGUUCAGCAAACCCGUUGAACAGAUGAGUGAUAAUACCGAUGAAAAGCGCACCCAUAUAAAUCAAUCCAUCCUCUGUUGUAUCAUGGCGCAUCUUAGUACGGAAGAAGACCGUCAUUGCAAUAGUUGCAAUCAAACAGAGCUGAAAUUAUUAAAGGCCAAAGAAUGUAAGAUGCAGAACCAUAUGAAUUUAGGAAUUGUGCAAGUUAAAGCAGCUGGAUGGUUCCUGCUCUUGUCGAAGGGGGUGGACAGUUCAAUUUCCAACCUACGGCCUACAUGGAAUGAUAGAAAUGCAUCUGCAAAUUCCUUAACAGGAAUGAAACGGAAUUUCAAUGCAAUUCUUGGAACAUAGACCAAACGGACAAACUAUCAUAUCGAACUACUUUAGCUACUUACUUCCUGCAAGAAGUCGGCAACACCUUUCCUCUCAGGACAUCUGAAACCCAUGGAUUCAAAAAAUUCAAGCACAUGCUCACGUGGACCCUGAUACACAAUCUGCCCUUCAGAGAGGAGAAUAAUGUCAUCAAAAAGGUCGUAAGUCUCUGGAGCUGGCUGAAGCAGAGCUAUCAGUGCUGUUCCCCCAAGGAUGUGAAUGGACUGCCUGAGGGAAUUGACAAUCUGGAAAGUUGUGGAGCUGUCCAGGCCAGUAGAGAUCUCAUCCAUGAACAGUGCCCUUGCUGGACCAACAAGCAUUUCACCUAUUGACAAGAAGAUAAUUGUUCAAGUUUGGCAGUCUUACAACAAGAGGAGUGUUUUGAGUGCUAGUGAAUCCCAAAGGUUCUCAUUAACAAUAAUUCCACCUGUCGUGACUCGCUUCUUUUGCCCUCCGGAGAUUCCCCUUAACAUUGCAUCUCCUACCACAGUAUCGGCACAGAUAUCCAGUCCUAAAAUCUGCAGUUUUAGAGGAAGCAGGGAGAAGAAGAUAGAGAGAGUUAUAACUAUUGCGCAUUGGGGGUAAGAGAUCUCUCAACAGAUUUGUCGUCCUAAUAUGUAGAGUGCUUUCCUCCAACCUUGCCACUUGGAACUUAUCCUCAAUUGGACUUUAAUAUGUUCCUAUGUAAGUAAUCAUUUUAUCAAUUACCAGCCUGUGGGAUACCUUUUUGCAGUAUCUCUGCUCUACUAGGCAUGUCUAUGAAAUGGUCAGUGGUUUUGGUUUAUGAAAUAUUCUGACCAUAGCACCCAGUUGACUUGCUUGAUUGGAUGCACUCAUAAUAGUUGGGUUUACAGGAAUGAUUGGUGGAGCA